rnacentral:lncRNA from 11 species
GGGAAGGGCUGAUGAUGGAGGCAGCAAAAUUUACUGGGGAAGAACUUUCCAAACUCAUUUAUCGAUCUGAGACGUGCCUAGAUUUCAAUGAGGACUACAUGAGAUGUCGUAUUUGGAUGUGGCUUUCAGCUGCAUAUGUGAAUAUGAAACUGACUUUGGGAGCCUUCUGAGAUUUACAAAACCAAAAGUAUGAAAAAGUAUGGGGUUGGAAAAUUCUAAGUUUACCAAACCAAUAUGACCAAGAAGAGGAAGAGGAGGAGGAGACAGUCACGAUGGGUACAGCGAACAAUUCGUUUCUACUGAGCUUUACUUCCAGGACACCCCAUCUCUCAGUGGAUACUGAAAUACAUGGAUGACCAAGUCCCAUUAUACACAAUAGUAUA